UUCUAAAAUGAUCAUUUUGUUUACAAUAGUGUUUUUGGUAUAAAUCAUUUUUGGACGUGAUUAUGUUUUUUUUUGAUAUUUAAGAUUAAAUUUUAUGAUAGAAUUAGAUUAUUCUUUCUUUAUUUUCUGAUUUCGGAUGAAACACUGAAAAAAAAAUUAAGACACUCAAAUCUAUGAACGAUUAAUGCCAAUAUCAUAAACUGUAAAAAUUAUAUGUCCGCAAAGUAUUUUUACUAAUUAGUUUGUUUGUUUCCUUUGUCUUUCAUUUGCACAUCAAAUGAUGUGCAGCUGCCAGGAUCUUUACGUUUUUUAUCUUUGAAAUUUAUUUUUGAAACCUUCCCACUUUGCUUCAAAGUUUCAACAACCUGUGCUCUGUAGAAUACUUAGCUUAAAAGGUUGCGAAGCAUUGGUGAGGGUUCCAACAAGCUUUGGCCAAGUAGAUGUGGUGAUCUCACUGCACUUCCGGAGACCAUUGAAAACCUGUAUGCUUUGCAAUACUUGAACUGUACCCACCUGCACCAGGAUUGAUGGUGGGUUCUUGCACAGCAUAUGCUAUUUCAAUGUGGAAGCAAUAUUUGUGGGCGUGGAGGGUGAUGGUGGACAAUUGGUAGAGUGUUCUUGGUCUUGUUUUGUAAUGGAAGAAGAGGAGGAGGACGAGGAAAGAGGAAAGAGGAAGUGGAAGUGAGUGUGUCGUUGACAAUGUGUGAUCUAACUUUAGAUUCCAAUAACAGUGCUUUACAAAUGGUGAGGAAGGAAAUUAAAAGGAGGAUGGGGAUAGUCAUAGUAGUUGAAAAGUCCAGAUUGUGUAUGCAAAGACGGGAUUCAGUAGACAAGAGCGAAGAGUAUAUCUGCCAAGCUUCACAAAUCAAGACGACUAUUUGCGUUUACUCUCUUCAAACUCCUCAAAUCUGACCCGAGAGAGAAUGAUGAAUGGGAGACGCACCGAUAGAUCAGGGAGAGGUAGUUUUGACAGGGUCUCCUUUAUUCUAGAUUUCAUUUGUUCUGGAUUGUAAAAGUUGAUUGAUUGAUGAAGCAUGUAUAUUAUUUUUUCUUGUAUUAUUUAGAUAAAUGAUAUGAAAGGAAGUUUUUGAUCAGAUUCACAAGACA